UUUCCCAGCAUGUAAAAGGGGAAUAUGUACUCUUCCCAAGGUAGUUCUGAGCGAUAACACCUGCGGGUGCUUGGUUCCGAGAGCAACAGAAAACCCAGAUCCUCGUGGAGGCAACGGGUGUGAUUCCCGUAGGGGUUCUGCAGAAGCAUCGGAUGGAGGGCUGGACCAGGGAGGUAAAACUUGAGCUGCGGUCCUUGAAGGGUUACAGAAGGGUACAGAGGCAGGACUGCCGCCUCCUUUGGGGUGCCCCCAGAGGUAAAGCUUUUUCUCUCCAUCUCCGCUAAGACCCUCCCCUCUCUAGAUCCCUCCCUUCUCUCUGCUCUUCCUGUCCAUCUGUCUCAUGCCACUUUUCCCCUCCUCUCAUCCCCCUCCCAUCUUCUGCGUCACUCACUGCCCCACCUUCCCUCACAGAACCCAGAGAGGAUCGCUGGCCCUCCAGCGCAUGCGCAGUCGCUGCCAGCUGGACCGCGGGUUGGAAGCUCCAGCUCCGAGCCGGGGAUCGGCUCCUAAGGCUUCUCAGCUCUGUCGCCCUGACCAGCUCAGCGGCGUGGGCACUGCUCCCUGGGCUGAGAGCCACCGGCUGUGACGCCCAGCUUCUCCUGGUGGAGUCAGGAAAAGGGAGCGUCAGUUCUGAGCGAGCUUCUGUCUCCUCCCUCAGUGUUUCUGCCGCAGGGGCAGGAAGCCUAGACCAAAAGCUGGGUAAUGUGAUCCGAGCUACGGUAGCCAUGUGCAGACUCUGAGGACAAACUGUACCCCCGGAUUUGCUUUGACUUCCCUUGCCUUCUGGCUGGUACACACCAGAUCACCGCAACCCAGAUGGGCCUGCAGCCCACAGCACAGUAUGUACCUCGAUCUCCUCUCCCCUCUCGGUAGGGCUUGCAACAUGAGCAUCCCUGAGUACGUGCAGUGUGCUGAGGACUAUGAGAAUCUUCCCGUGGUGGUCCAACCCGUGGGGAUCAUCUCAGAGGAGAAUAUCUUUUGCAUCUAUAAGCGAAUCUCCUUGGUGAGCCAGAUCAGCCCGUGUGGCUCCCAGUGGGCAAUCUGUAUCCACUACAGGCACCACUAUGCACCUGAGAAUGGGUGGAGCGACUUUCAGACCUACCGCAAGGUCGUGGGCCCUGUCACCAUUACCUACUGCCUCUCGGCCAAGGCCUUCGAGAAGCUCCACGUGCAGAGGAGCUGUAUGGCGCCACGCUUAAUGACUCUCAGCUAUUUGUCUUUGUGCUGUAUGGGGAGGUAGACGAGCAGUCGCUCACCAACGUGGCCUUCAAUCUAUGAGGACUGCAGGGUGGUGGAGAAGAGGAUCGAGGACUUCACUGAAUCACUCUUCAUCUUGCCCAAGUCCAAGUAGCUGGAUGGGGCCCUCGACAAUUCUGGGGACAAGAUCACCCUCCUCUGCAUCCCGCUUGAGAAGGAGGACGUCAUGGGACUGGACACAGACAGCAGGGCCCUGUGAUCUACAUGCCCGCACUCCCCUUGUGCUCCUUGGAGAUGAGGUGUCAGGUUUAGGAACCUAGGCACUGCUGAGGGCAUAGCUGCCAGCACCGUGGUACACCAAGGCUGACUCCGUUCACCUCACCUGUCACCUCCUGCUGAGUCCCAAGGCGUCAGUCAAGGUAGGUGCAUCGGUGCAACGUAAGCAGGGACUACCUUCUCACCCUGCACAGACUGGUGUGUGAGCAGUGGAAGCCUGGAGCCCUGCC